rnacentral:rRNA from 1 species
GAUGAACGCUGGCGGCGUGCUUAACACAUGCAAGUCGAACGAAGAAUUUAGGACAGAUUUCUUCGGUCUGAAGUGCUUUAUGACUGAGUGGCAGACGGGUGAGUAACGCGUGGGUAACCUGCCUUUUACGGGGGGAGGGCAGCUGGAAACGGCAGGUAAUACAGCAUAAGCGCCCAAUGUUGCAUGACAUGGUGUGAAAAACUCUGGUGGUAUAAGAUGUACGCGCGUCUGAUUAGCUAGUUGGGGAGCUAACAGCCCACCAAGGCGACGAUCAGUAGACGAGCUGUGAGGCUGACCGGCCACACUGGCACUGGGACACGGCACAGACUCCUACGGGAGGGAGCAGUGGCGAAUAUUGCACAAUGGAGUAAGUUAUGAUGCAGUGCCGCCGCGUGAGUGAAGUAGUUAUUCGAUAACUAAUGUUUUAGUAGCUAGGCACAUAUUGACGGUACCUGAUCAAGAAGCCACGGCUAACUACGUG